rnacentral:rRNA from 1 species
UAGUCCACGCUGUAAACGAUGGAUACUAGCUUUUAGGUUUUCGGAUUUAGAGGCUAAGCGAAAGUGAUAAGUAUCCCACCUGGGGAGUACGUUCGCAAGAAUGAAACUCAAAGGAAUUGACGGGGGCCCGCACAAGCGGUGGAGCAUGUGGUUUAAUUCGAUGAUACGCGAGGAACCUUACCAGAGCUUAAAUGUAGAUUGCAUAGGUUAUAACUAACUUUUUCUUCGGACUAUUUACAAGGUGCUGCAUGGUUGUCGUCAGCUCGUGCCGUGAGGUGUCAGGUUAAGUCCUAUAACGAGCGCAACCCCUAUCGUUAGUUGCCAUCAAGUAAAGUUGGGGACUCUAACGAGACUGCCGGUGCAAACCGUGAGGAAGGUGGGGAUGACGUCAAAUCAUCACGGCCCUUACGUUCUGGGCUACACACGUGCUACAAUGGCAUAAACAGCGGGCAGCUACUUAGCAAUAAGAUGCGAAUCCACAAAUUAUGUCUCAGUUCGGAUCGAGGUCUGC